AAUGAACGCUGGCGGCGCGCCUAAUACAUGCAAGUCGAGCGAGAAGACGUAGCAAUACGUUUGUAAAGCGGCGAACGGGUGAGGAAUACAUGGGUAACCUACCCUCGAGUGGGGAAUAACUAGCCGAAAGGUUAGCUAAUACCGCGUACGCUUCUUGGACUUCGGUUCAGGGAGGAAAGCGAUACCGUGGGUAUCGCGCUCUUGGAUGGGCUCAUGUCCUAUCAGCUUGNGGUGAGGUAACGGCUCACCAAGGCUUCGACGGGUAGCUGGUCUGAGAGGACGAUCAGCCACACUGGCACUGCGACACGGGCCAGACUCCUACGGGAGGCAGCAGUAAGGAAUAUUGCGCAAUGGGCGAAAGCCUGACGCAGCGACGCCGCGUGGGGGAUGAAGGUC
rnacentral:rRNA from 1 species